GCAUAUAUGUUGAAGUUGGUUGG
rnacentral:miRNA from 15 species